ensembl:miRNA mir-1817 ncRNA
UGUACAUUUCAAUUUUCGAGUAGCCAAUGUCUUCUCUAUCAUGCAUUUUACAAAUAAUGAGUACAUGAUAGUGAAAUAUUUGCUUCCUGAAUUUCAGAGAUGUUU